AGACCCGAAACCCGGUGAUCUAGCCAUGGGCAGGUUGAAGGUUGGGUAACACUAACUGGAGGACCGAACCGACUAAUGUUGAAAAAUUAGCGGAUGACUUGUGGCUGGGGGUGAAAGGCCAAUCAAACCGGGAGAUAGCUGGUUCUCCCCGAAAGCUAUUUAGGUAGCGCCUCGUGAAUUCAUCUCCGGGGGUAGAGCACUGUUUCGGCAAGGGGGUCAUCCCGACUUACCAACCCGAUGCAAACUGCGAAUACCGGAGAAUGUUAUCACGGGAGACACACGGCGGGUGCUAACGUCCGUCGUGAAGAGGGAAACAACCCAGACCGCCAGCUAAGGUCCCAAAGUCAUGGUUAAGUGGGAAACGAUGUGGGAAGGCCCAGACAGCCAGGAUGUUGGCUUAGAAGCAGCCAUCAUUUAAAGAAAGCGUAAUAGCUCACUGGUCGAGUCGGCCUGCGCGGAAGAUGUAACGGGGCUAAACCAUGCACCGAAGCUGCGGCAGCGACACUGUGUGUUGUUGGGUAGGGGAGCGUUCUGUAAGCCUGUGAAGGUGUGCUGUGAGGCAUGCUGGAGGUAUCAGAAGUGCGAAUGCUGACAUAAGUAACGAUAAAGCGGGUGAAAAGCCCGCUCGCCGGAAGACCAAGGGUUCCUGUCCAACGUUAAUCGGGGCAGGGUGAGUCGACCCCUAAGGCGAGGCCGAAAGGCGUAGUCGAUGGGAAACAGGUUAAUAUUCCUGUACUUGGUGUUACUGCGAAGGGGGGACGGAGAAGGCUAUGUUGGCCGGGCGACGGUUGUCCCGGUUUAAGCGUGUAGGCUGGUUUUCCAGGCAAAUCCGGAAAAUCAAGGCUGAGGCGUGAUGACGAGGCACUACGGUGCUGAAGCAACAAAUGCCCUGCUUCCAGGAAAAGCCUCUAAGCAUCAGGUAACAUCAAAUCGUACCCCAAACCGACACAGGUGGUCAGGUAGAGAAUACCAAGGCGCUUGAGAGAACUCGGGUGAAGGAACUAGGCAAAAUGGUGCCGUAACUUCGGGAGAA
rnacentral:rRNA from 1 species